CCUACGGGAGGCAGCAGUGAGGAAUAUUGGUCAAUGGGCUUACGCCUGAACCAGCCAAGACGCGUGAGGGAAGACUGCCCUAUGGGUUGUAAACCUCUUUUGUCAGGGAGCAACGCCGGCUACGUGUAGCCGGACUGAGAGUACCUGAAGAAAAAUCAUCGGCUAACUCCGUGCCAGCAGCCGCGGUAAUACGGAGGAUGCGAGCGUUAUCCGGAUUUAUUGGGUUUAAAGGGUGCGUAGGCGGAAUGCCAAGUCAGCGGUAAAAUCGCGGGGCUAACCCUCGCUCCGCCGUUGACACUGGCGUUCUGGAGUGGGCGAGAAGUAUGCGGAAUGCGUGGUGUAGCGGUGAAAUGCAUAGAUGUCACGCAGAACUCCGAUUGCGAAGGCAGCAUACCGGCGCCCAACUGACGCUGAAGCACGAAAGCGUGGGUAUCGAACAGGAUUAGAUACCCCGGUAGUC
rnacentral:rRNA from 1 species